CUUUCGCUUUCACUUUGCUUCUUGCUGUACAGACUGCUGCUGUGCCGGCUGGCUAGGUCGCUCUGUAAGCAGAGCACCUUUCUCUCUCAAAAUGAAGUUAGUCAAUUAGGCUCCUGUAUCUAGCAACCAACUUCAGGAAAGCCAGUGUGUCUUCAUGCCUAAUGGACAUAUUGAGCUUGCAUCAGGAUUCUGGGUGAAGAGGACCUAACUCAUGAACCUGCUCAGUGAUAAUACUCCAAAAAAGUGCAAUAUUCCAGCUUCCACUGUAGAUAUGCUCCCUGGAACAAACAAAUCAAACAGAACAAAGGAAUUCUAGAGGGAGUAGAGCUGGACGUCCUGGUGUGACAGAAGUUCAAUCAAACAGAAUUGAUAAGAAAGGUCUUAAAUUAUCUCUAUUGACUGAAACUGGAUUUUACAACUCGACAUGCCCAAAUAGACUUGGAGCCACAGUAUCCCAGAGACUUAUUUGAAAAUUUCAGGAUAUGAGUAUGAAAAGCACCGUGUUAGAAAUGAAGAUUUCUCUAUGAUGUUGGAGAAGACUCUCCUGUACUAUUCCUUUUUACCCUCUUUCCCAGUAAUAACCCUGAAGGCCCCUCUCAGUCUCUGUGCUUUGAAAAUGGUGUUACACUCAGUGCGCACAAAGUGGUCCUGAAGAGCCAUGGUCUUUCACUACACAUUCGUGCGACCCAGGGAGGAGUAUUAAAAAAGUACGGAAGCAUCCCUGGAAUUCUAGAGAUAACUUUGUGGGAACCAAGUGAUCUUUCUAUCUCCCCAGCAUGGAAACAUGUUUUCAACUGUAACACAUCGUGUAAGUCCACCUGAGGGAAUUCAUUCCAUCCAGGACUCAGCCAUGCUUUCAAACCAAUUAAGAUGAUGGACUGUGCAUUUAAUACAUUUUUCCAAUUGUAAAAGAAAAUAUGUAUUACGAAGCAACAAAUCUCUACAUUAUACAUUUUAUCACCUUAUAAAAACCUUUAAAG
rnacentral:lncRNA from 1 species